rnacentral:rRNA from 1 species
AUUGAACGCUGGCGGCAGGCCUAACACAUGCAAGUCGAGCGCGAAAGUUCUUCGCUAUGUGUAAAGCGGCGGACGGGUAAGUAAUGCAUGGGAAUUUGCCUGGUAGUGGGGGACAACGUCUCGAACGGGACGCUAAUACCGCAUUAGCCCUACGGAGGCAAGGGGGGGUUCUUCGGACCUCUCGCUAUCAGCUGAGCCCAUGUCAGUUUGGCUCGUUGGUGGGGUAAGGGCCUACCAAGGCGACGAUCGGUAACUGGUCUGAGCGGAGGAUCAGUCGCACUAGAACGGGAACACGGUCCAUACUCCUACGAGAGGCAGCAGUGGGGAAUAGUGGACAAUGGUCGAGAGCCUUGUCCAGCGAGGGCGAGUGUGUUGAGAAGGCCUUGGGGUUGUAAAGCACGUUCAGUGGUGAUAAAGGUUUUUUACUUGAUACGUAGGCAGAGUGAUGGUACCUGCAGAAGAAGCACCGGCUAACUCCGUG